AUUGAACGCUGGCGGCAGGCCUAACACAUGCAAGUCGAACGUGUGGCGGGCGGGUGAAUAGUGUCUGGGAAACUGCCUGAUGGCGGGGGAUCACCUCGGGAAGCGGUAUCUAAUACCGCAUCACCUCAGAUGUGCAGAUAGGGGAUUAGCGAGGAGGUGGGGUAACGGCUCACCUAGGCGACGAUCCCUAGCUGGUCUGAGAGGAUGACCAGCCACGCUGGAACGGAGACACGGUCCAGACUCCUACGGGAGGCAGCAGUGGGGAAUAUGGCACAAUGGGCGCAAGCCUGAUGCAGCCAUGCCGCGUGUAUGAAGAAGGCCUUCGGGUUGUAAAGUACUUUCAGCGGGGAGGCGUUACCCGCAGAAGAAGCACCGGCUAACUCCGUGCCAGCAGCCGCGGUAAUAC
rnacentral:rRNA from 1 species